UACAGAGGUCUCAAGCGUUGUUCGGAUUCAUUGGGCGUAAAGGGCGCGUAGGCGGGAUGGCAAGUCGGUCGUGAAAUCCUUCGGCUCAACCGAAGAACGUCGAUCGAUACUGCCGUGCUUGAGGACUGGAGAGGAGACUGGAAUUCCCGGUGUAGCGGUGAAAUGCGCAGAUAUCGGGAGGAACACCAGUAGCGAAGGCGGCACUCUGGGCCGGUACUGACGCUGAGGAGCGAAAGCGUGGGGAGCGAACAGG
rnacentral:rRNA from 1 species